AGAACGAACGCUGGCGGCAGGCCUAAAACAUGCAAGUCGAACGCUCUAGCAAUAGAGAGUGGCGCACGGGUGCGUAACAUGUGGGAAUAUGCCUUUUGGUACGGAACAACUUUUGGAAACGAAAGCUAAUACCGUAUGGUCCCUUCGGGGUAAAGAUUUAUCGCCAAAAGAGUAGCUCGCACUGGAUUAGCUAGUUGGUAAGGUAAUGGCUUACCAAGGCGACGACGGAUAGCU
rnacentral:rRNA from 1 species